rnacentral:rRNA from 1 species
ACUGCGGAGGGAUCAUUACCGAGUUUACAACUCCCAAACCCAAUGUGAACGUUACCAAACUGUUGCCUCGGCGGGGUCACGCCCCGGGUGCGUCGCAGCCCCGGAACCAGGCGCCCGCCGGAGGAACCAACCAAACUCUUUCUGUAGUCCCCUCGCGGACGUAUUUCUUACAGCUCUGAGCAAAAAUUCAAAAUGAAUCAAAACUUUCAACAACGGAUCUCUUGGUUCUGGCAUCGAUGAAGAACGCAGCGAAAUGCGAUAAGUAAUGUGAAUUGCAGAAUUCAGUGAAUCAUCGAAUCUUUGAACGCACAUUGCGCCCGCCAGUAUUCUGGCGGGCAUGCCUGUCCGAGCGUCAUUUCAACCCUCGAACCCCUCCGGGGGAUCGGCGUUGGGGAUCGGGACCCCUCACACGGGUGCCGGCCCCGAAAUACAGUGGCGGUCUCGCCGCAGCCUCUCCUGCGCAGUAGUUUGCACAACUCGCACCGGGAGCGCGGCGCGUCCACGUCCGUAAAACACCCAACUUUCUGAAAUGUUGACCUCGGAUCAGGUAGGAAUACCCGCUGAACUUAAGCAUAUCAUAC